rnacentral:rRNA from 1 species
GAGUUUGAUCGUGGCUCAGAUUGAACGCUGGCGGCAUGCCUUACACAUGCAAGUCGAACGGCAGCACGGGAGCUUGCUCCUGGUGGCGAGUGGCGAACGGGUGAGUAAUGCAUCGGAACGUAUCCUGGAGUGGGGGAUAACGUAGCGAAAGUUACGCUAAUACCGCAUAUUCUGUGAGCAGGAAAGCGGGGGACCUUCGGGCCUCGCGCUCUUGGAGCGGCCGAUGUCGGAUUAGCUAGUUGGUGAGGUAAAGGCUCACCAAGGCGACGAUCCGUAGCAGGUCUGAGAGGAUGAUCUGCCACACUGGAACUGAGACACGGUCCAGACUCCUACGGGAGGCAGCAGUGGGGAAUUUUGGACAAUGGGGGCAACCCUGAUCCAGCCAUGCCGCGUGGGUGAAGAAGGCCUCGGUU